rnacentral:rRNA from 1 species
UACCAGCUCUCCGAGUGGUAGGGAUGAUUAUUGGGCUUAAAGCGUCCGUAGCCGGCUUAGCAAGUCUCCUGUUAAAUUCAGCGACCUAAUCGUUGAGCCGCGGGAGAUACUACUAGGCUAGGAGGCGGGAGAGGUCAACGGUACUUCCGGGGUAGGGGUGAAAUCCUAUAAUCCCGGGAGGACCACCAGUGGCGAAGGCUGUUGACUAGAACGCGCUCGACGGUGAGGGACGAAAGCUGGGGGAGCGAACCGGAUUAGAUACCCGGGUAGUCCCAGCUGUAAACGAUGCGAGCUAGGUGUUGGGGUGGCUACGUGCCACUUCAGUGCCGCAGGGAAGCCAUUAAGCUCGCCGCCUGAGGAGUACGGCCGCAAGGCUGAAACUUAAGGAAUUGGCGGGGAGCACCACAAGGCGUGAAGCUUGCGGUUC